rnacentral:rRNA from 1 species
ACGGGUGAGUAACACGUAGGUAACCUACCUCCGAGUUCGGGAUAACCUGUCGAAAGAUAGGCUAAUACCGGAUAAGACCACGAUGGCUUCGGCCACUGCGGUCAAAGAUGGCCUCUAUUUAUAUGCUAUCGCUUAGGGAUGGGCCUGCGCACCAUUAGCUAGUUGGUGAGGUAAUGGCUCACCAAGGCUACGAUGGUUAGUUGGUCUGAGAGGAUGACCAGCCACACUGGGACUGAGACACGGCCCAGACUCCUACGGGAGGCAGCAGUGGGGAAUAUUGCGCAAUGGGGGAAACCCUGACGCAGCGACGCCGCGUGGGUGAUGAAGGCCUUCGGGUCGUAAAGCCCUGUCGGAGGGGAAGAAGGACUCUCGUGCAAAUAGUUCGAGGGCUUGACGGUACCCUUAGAGGAAGCACCGGCUAACUCCGUGCCAGCAGCCGCGGUAAUACGGAGGGUGCAAGCGUUGCUCGGAAUUACUGGGCGUAAAGGGCGUGUAGGCGGUUUCGUAUGUCUGGCGUGAAAGCCCCGGGCUCACCUCGGGAAGUGCGUCGGAAACUGCGAGACUAGAGUCCCGGAGAGGG